rnacentral:rRNA from 1 species
CUGCCCAAUGAGUAGUUAAAUGGCCGCGGUACUUUGACCGUGCAAAGGUAGCAUAAUCAAUAGUUUUUUAAUUGAAAGCUGGUAUGAAAGGUCCGAUGAGAAAAUUACUGUCUCUAUAAAAAUUUUUUAGAAUUUUAUUUUUAAGUAAAAAAGCUUAAAUAAUAAUAGAAGACGAGAAGACCCUAUAGAGUUUUAUUAAUUUUUUUUAGGAGGAAUAUUAGGAUUUAUUUUUUUUUCUAAAUGAAAUUAAUUUAGUUGGGGAGAUUGAAAAAUUUAUAAAACUUUUUUUUUAUUUAAACAUUAAUUUAUGAAUAAUUGAUCCUUAAGUAAAGAUUAUAAGAAAAAAUUACCUUAGGGAUAACAGCGUAAUUUUUUUAGAGAGUUCAUAUCGAUAAAAAAGAUUGCGACCUCGAUGUUGGAUUAAAAUAAAAUUUUGGUGUAGGAGCUAAAAUAUUUGGGUCUGUUCGACCCUUAAAAUUUUACAUGAUCUGAGUUUAAACCGGCGU